UACGGAGGGUGCAAGCGUUAUCCGGAUUUAUUGGGUUUAAAGGGUGCGUAGGCGGGAUAUUAAGUCAGUGGUGAAAGCCCACAGCUCAACUGUGGAACUGCCAUUGAAACUGAUAUUCUUGAAUAUGAUCGAAGUGGGCGGAAUAUGACAUGUAGCGGUGAAAUGCAUAGAUAUGUCAUAGAACACCGAUAGCGAAGGCAGCUCACUAGGUCAUUAUUGACGCUGAGGCACGAAAGCGUGGGGAGCGAACAGG
rnacentral:rRNA from 1 species